AGUGACAGAGGCCAGGCAGGGCAGGUGUGGGCAGAGCUGCUGUGCAGGCAGAGAGAAGGUGGAGAGAGGCCACCCAGAGCGGGCCUGGCCAUGUGGAGUGCCCUGUGCGUGGGCUUCUUGCCCAUUGUAGCAGUCACUGGCCAGGUGGCCUUGGAGCAGCAGCCCAGGGAAGUGACCGUGCAAGAAGGACUUGAAGUCACCUUGCAGUGCUCCCUUAAGGGAGGUGAUAUGAGCAGCUAUGACAUGUACUGGUUCCGUCAGGGCCCUCACGGCAUGCAGUAUAUAUCCAUGGGUGGUUAUUACUAUGGAGAAGGUUUCGAAGGUCGCUUUAUUGGAAAAAAGGAGAACUCCAAGAACAACUUCACACUGCAGAUCCUGGCAGCAGAGCAAGGCGACCCAGCAACGUAUUACUGUGGAGCAACCACACCCUGGAGCCACUCUGCAGCUGAGUGAGCCAAAAACCAACAGAGAAGCAAGACAAACGUCCCAGCAUUUCCUCCUAAAAGCUGCACCCCAGAGCUCCUGUCAGGCAAUGGCAGGUGCAGGAAACAUCCCUCUGGCUUGGUGGCACUAGAAG